rnacentral:rRNA from 1 species
UACGUAGGGUGCAAGCGUUGUUCGGAAUUACUGGGCGUAAAGGGCGCGUAGGCGGUUCGUUAAGUCACUUGUGAAAUCUCUGGGCUUAACCCAGAACGUCCAAGUGAAACUGACAUGCUAGAGUGCAGAAGGGGCAAUCGGAAUUCUUGGUGUAGCGGUGAAAUGCGUAGAUAUCAAGAGGAACACCUGAGGUGAAGGCGGGUUGCUGGGCUGACACUGACGCUGAGGCGCGAAAGCCAGGGGAGCAAACGGG